UACGGGGGGGGUAAGCGUUGUUCGGAAUUACUGGGCGUAAAGGGCUCGUAGGCGGCCAACUAAGUCAGACGUGAAAUCCCUCAGCUUAACUGGGGAACUGCGUCUGAUACUGGAUGGCUUGGAUCCGGAAGAGGGAUGCGGAAUUCCAGGUGUAGCGGUGAAAUGCGUAGAUAUCUGGAGGAACACCGGUGGCGAAGGCGGCAUCCUGGACCGAGAUUGACGCUGAGGCGCGAAAGCUAGGGUAGCAAACGGG
rnacentral:rRNA from 1 species